GGUGGAGUAGAGGAGAGGAGAAAGAGAAGGAGGAGGAGAGAGAAGUAGAAGGAGGAGAAGGUGGAGUAGGAGGAGGAGUAGGAGUAGGCAGGGGUGGGCAGGUAAGGGAGCAGACAGGUCUCCAGUCUCUUCGGGGGCGUGGGUAUGUAGCAGUGGAGGAUAUAUCAGAAAUCAGAAUUAAGUAGAAAUGCAAUGGAGGCUGCAAAUAGCGCAUGUACAACAACUGUUAACUGGCCCUAUGCUUUCCCUAGAGAAAAAUAAUAAAAGGCUAACAAGCACAUCUGUCUGUACAGGCCUCGAACGCUUCACUCCGUGGGUAUCCCGCAGUGGCUAGUCC